CGUCUCCGCGUGGUGAGCGCGCGAGUGUCCUGUUGCCCUUACGCAAGAGUCUAGACUAGUCCCUGGAAGAGCCCACCAGAGCACACGAUCUCAUCACCGUAUCUUCUAAGGAGAAAAACGAGGCGUACCGUGGAGAGGGGUGAACUUUAGCCGCGGCAAAUAACAUCUGUAAAACAGUUUACAUUUUCCGUGAGGAGUUUAACGUCUGCUUCUGGGGGAAAGAAAAUGGGACUGGACUUACUAAAAACUAAGCAAAAUAUAUGAAGACAGCUGUUCUCAGAUAUUGGGCGACAGGCAAUUCUGGACUGUGGGGCCUGAAAGAAAAGAAGCAAACAAGAUGAGCCUUAUAUGGCUUUCUGCCCAAAGUCACUUUCCAGUUUGAGGUGCAGGGAAGGGGAACUCCGAAAGAGACCUGGAGUUUCACCAGGAGGGCAGAGAUCUUAUGGGGUUGAAGAGACAUGGAUUGGAGUUUAGGGAAUUUGGGGAGGCCAGGCUGGUUGGAAUUUAUGCGUUGGAGUUCAUGGAGAAAGAGCUUCAGGAUCUACGUGGGAAUACCCUUGAAUCUUUAGCUGAAUAAAAAUCCGUGGAUAGGUCAUGUGAAAUUCCACAAGGCCCAGAAGGAGCAAUUAUGAGGAGUAAGCCAAGUUCCCUACAGCCAGAGUGCAGAAACUGUUGAACAUGUGGCAUAUGCUAUAGAGACCCCAGAAGUGUGAUGCCUUAGUUGUGAGGUAAACUAGCCUUAGAUUCUGGAGUCUAGAGUAAAAGCUGUUGUAGACCCUUCAAGACCUUAAAGCCCCCAAAGGAUCGAACUGUUCAGUAACUCACCUGACUGCCUACCAGAACAAAGGCUCAUUCUAAGAGACAACAACAAAACUCAACAACAUUAAGUUGAAAAUACCAGGCAUCCACCAGUUAAAAAUUAAUAGACGUGCCAAGCAGAAAACCCUGAGGGCAAAUUAUUCCCUGAUGGGAACUGAAACUACCCGCUCAAGCAAUAAGGACUGCCUUGAGCCAGCAAGACCCCACCCAUGAUUGGCCGGAGACUAUGGUUGACUUGACUUUCAUUGGGCACCUGUAUGUACUCACCCACCUUUGUCCCACAUUUUCCCUAUAUAAACCUAGAAGUAUUUUCAGCACUCUGAAGCAUCUUUGAGAUGCUAGUCCACUGCCUUCCCAGUGUUGGCCUCCCUGAAAUAAAUUUCCUCCUGGUUUUACCACCA